rnacentral:rRNA from 1 species
UGCCAGCCGCCGCGGUAAUACGCAGGGUGCUUGCGUUAAUCGGAAUUACUGGGCGUAAAGCGCGCGUAGGCGGUUUGUUAAGUCGGAUGUGAAAGCACCGGGCUCAACCUGGGAACUGCAUCCGAUACUGGCCGACUAGAGUACGAGAGAGGGAGGUAGAAUUCCAUGUGUAGCGGUGAAAUGCGUAGAUAUAUGGAGGAACACCAAACGCGAAGGCAUUCUGCUGGUCAUUACCUGACGCUGAGGGACGAAAGCGUGGGGAGCGAACGGGAUUAGAUA